CUUGUGCCUCCUGGUCUUGCCUGCAUGCCUCUGUCUUCUUGAGGCACUUCUGGGAUAGCUUCCCAGCAUGUUCCUUGUCUUCCUUCUGCUCUGCAGUGAUGAAGUGACUGGAGACCUUGAGAGUGUGAUAAAGUGACCAGAACAGGGGGGUUAUUUCUGCAUCUUCAAAACUAUGAUCCUGUGUUUUGACUCACUGUCAGAAAGGUGCUAUUUUAAGCUCCAUAUGAGAAAGUUGAUUUUUUAAGGCAGUUCUAGUGCCUUCCAUUUACUCCAAGAUCUAAUAAAUUUCACUCACGUUCCCAUGGAAUAUUGCUGGAACACUUGUGGAGAGAGCUAAAAUAAAGCAAAGCCAGCAGUAUCUGGUAGAACAAAGCUCACCAGAAUUUGCUAGCUGUGUCAGGAAGCAAGAUGGAUGAUGCUGAAACCAGCGUGCUUUGCCCUGGGUGCAUGAAGGCAGUUGGCUACCCAGUCUGCUGGGAACACUGGCUAAACACAGGUUCUUCCUCAAGAUGGAUAACCUUAUCUAGCAUGGAAAGUUUUUGUAGUUCUUCUCUGGUCAGUUAUCCAAACAGGACAAAAUUGAGCUGAUGUCAAAACAAAGAAUACACUGGGCUGUGAUAAAAGCUGCUCUUCUGCACAACUUCCUAGCUUGCAAAACCUGCCUGGUUUUGCAUAAUAAAUAAGCCCCAGGAAGUAUAAAGUUAGUGGGAGUGCUUGUAGUGUGGCCAAGUUACAGUUUUACAGUCGUUUAAAGGUCAGCAGCAAAUUGACAUCUACACCCAGUCCUGCAGGGUAAGGCUCUGUGGGGACAAACCUCUCAGGUGAAUGUCUGCAUGAUUUGCCUCUGGCCAUAUGGAAAAUGUGAGGCCAAAGAAGGGGCUGAGAUCCCACCGGGUCACUUGCAAGCCAGGGCCAGAGUUACCAAAUCAACCUUUCUCAGCAUUUAUUAGGGCAGGCUUUGAAACUUACAUGCUGAGGAAAGCUUUUUGACGCAAGAACUCCAGACCCAUGGCCUCACAGGGCAGAAAAACUGUCACCAGAGCUGGUUACAGCUCACGCCUGCAAAUGCAAAAAAGUUGUAUGGAGACAACAGCGCACAGGGAGACUUGCUAGGCCAUGGAUUAAGAUGCCAAGUUUCGGGGAAAAUGGUUUGCACAAGGAAAGCUCAGAACUCAAAAGCAGAGAUUGGGUGCUCUUCUAAGGACAACAGGUGGAGGGAUGAGAUCUGGGGAAAAAACCUAAACCCCCAAAACCUACUGUAGGAAAGGUUCCACCUCUGUGAAAAGAAGAAGGAAGGAGGGUAAUAAAAGUAUGAAGUGUAUCUAGUUUCAGGACUUUGCUGAAGAAAAAGAAGCACUCCUAAAAAUCACUACUACAGGUGAAAUCAUAGGGUUAGGGUUAAAGGAUGGAAAGAUCUGUACUGCAACCUGCAACUGUUGGAAAGCACGUGGGGUGAGAGGGUGUUAAUAAGCAGAUUAUAAGACAAGGUGGAGAUUUGGAAGUGUCCAGCUAGAGCUAUGGUUGCUGUUCAGGCAGGAAGUUCUUGAAAUGUCCUGAACUCCAUGGAGCAUGCGUAAAUCCAUGAGUCAGCGUGGUAUGUGCUACAACUACUCAGCCCUGAUCAGGAAACUCUGAACUAUUUUUCUCCAUCUCCUACAGACAGCUGGUGAUGAGGCAAACACGGGUAGGAGUUCUCUCUGAUGAAACUUUUAAGCUCUUGGUGUACAGGCACUUGGUAUGCAAUACCUGUCCCUCAAACAGCUGGGUGCAAAUGUGGGGAAGGCUUUUCCUGCAGGUUUUCAGGUACCAAGCUCAGCUGAUGUUCCUGUACUGCAGCUGUAAAUGAAGCCUCUUCUGGCACUCCCAGGGAGUUUGCUGGGCAUGUCCUGCCCCUGGCACCACUCCGACAUUCACAGCACCGAUCUCCAACAUUAUCACCUCUCCAAGUGCUUAAGGCAUGGCAGCUCACAGGAUGUUCAGAGGCCUCUUUGAGGCAUUCAUUUAGCUACAUGUGCCACUUAAAGUUGUAUGCCACCAACCAGGAAUCCUCUCUCCCUGCCAUGGUCUUCUCCCCAUAGACAGGCCUUGCUGGUGGUUUGCUCCUCCU